rnacentral:tRNA from 1 species
UGGGGAUGUAGUUUACAUGGUUAAAACAUAAGUUUUGCAAACUUAAGUACAGGGUUCAAUUCCCUGCUUCUCCACCAA